CAGAGAGUGAGUGAAUUAAAAUGUAUUUUGUAAUUUGGCAAUCUGUCAUUAGAAGAUGUUAUAAGGAAGCAAUGAAAACCUGUAACUGAUGCACCCCCUGAAUUUCCGUACUAGACAACUUGGUUAGAGACAAUAUGACUAACUAUAGCUAAAAUUUCCACGCAUUUCACAUUCCCAGGGCCCUCCCCAAGAAGGGUCAUUUCCAUUGAUGUAGCUGUGUGCCUUGCAGUGUCACAUCUAUGGUGAGACAUUUUGUGCAUACAUUUUAUGUCAGUCCCAAC